rfam:Spinacia oleracea cultivar SynViroflay scaffold17251.con0002.1, whole genome shotgun sequence.
AUCCCAGGUAAGCUGAAAAUUUCGAUUUUCGGUGCUUAGCUGAUUCAUGGGAGGCCAAAACAAAUUCAUUUUUUUGAACGGAAAUGUUCGCUGAUAACGCCUUUCUCUUUUUCAAUGAAGGCGUUUCAUUAGUUACUUUUCCGACAUUU